UUCACUGAGUACUCUUGAUGUCAGAUACUUUCCAUAAUGUAUCUCAUUUCAUUAUUGCCAUUUUACAGAUGAGGAGACUGAGGCUCAGAAAGGUGAAUUAACUUGUCCUGACAUCACAGUGUGGAACAUAAUACAACUGGAUCUAAGCUUAAGCAAACACGUGAUGAGGGAACAAGUAAACAGGCAGACAAAAUCGUUACUGGAGUAGGAGGCUGUGGACAUCUGAAGAAAUACCACAGAGGAAGCCUAUACUGCCAUCUUUUUCUCAUUUUUUCUGACAGGAUCUAUAUCAAUUCCUUUUUUCCAUUCCUUAAUUCUAUUAUUUUUAACUACAUAAGACAUUUUGUUACAGGAAAACCAGAAAACCCGAAAACCCAGAAGAAAAUGAAAAUCAUUCACAUUCCCUCCUUUCAGAGAAGGCUAUGACUAUUACAUUUUCAUUGCUUUUUUCCCAUCAACUUUCACAUGCACCAACAUAUAGAGAGUAUUGUUUUUAAUAUUAUUUUACAGAAAUGGUAUCAAACUUGGUGUAUUUCCUCCUCUUUAUUAGUACAUAUCACGAGUGUCUUUCCUUGCUAAUAAAUAUGGAUUGAGUUAAUGUUUAAUGGCUGCCUACUAUUAAAUUCUGUUGUAUGGAUGUCUUAUAAUUUAUUUAAGAACAGUCCUAUUGAUGCACCUUUAGAUUGUUUCUAAGUUUUCAUUCUUAUAAACCAAGCUGAGAUAAGCAUCCUGGCAGCUAAAUAUCUGUACUCAUUCAUGCUUUCUUUCUUAAGAUAAAUUCCUAGAAGUAGUAUUUCCAAAUAAAUAGAUAUACAUAGUUUUGCUGGUACUGUAUUUUUGCAUGCCCAUAAAAAAUAUAUAUAUACACAUAUAUAUAUCACACUGGAGAGUUUUCCUUUCACCCUUUCCUUUUUCAUUGUUGGGAA
rnacentral:lncRNA from 1 species